rnacentral:rRNA from 1 species
GCCUUACACAUGCAAGUCGAACGGCAGCACGGGCUUCGGCCUGGUGGCGAGUGGCGAACGGGUGANUAAUACAUCGGAACGUGCCCUGUUGUGGGGGAUAACCANUCGAAAGAUUGGNUAAUACCGCAUACGACCUGAGGGUGAAAGCGGGGGACCGCAAGGCCUCGCGCAGCAGGAGCGGCCGAUGUNUGAUUAGCUAGUUGGUGGGGUAAAGGCCCACCAAGGCGACGAUCAGUNNCUGGUCUGAGAGGACGAUCAGCCACACUGGGACUGAGACACGGCCCAUACUCCUACGGGAGGCAGCAGUGGGGAAUUUUGGACAAUGGGGGCAACCCUGAUCCAGCAAUGCCGCGUGUGUGAAGAAGGCCUUCGGGUUGUAAAGCACUUUUGUCCGGAAAGAAAACCUCCGCCCGAAUACGGUGGGGGGAUGACGGUACCGGAAGAAUAAGCACCGGCUAACUACGUGCCAGCAGCCGCGGUAAUACGUAGGGUGCGAGCGUUAAUCGGAAUUACUGGGCGUAAAGCGUGCGCAGGCGGUUUGACAAGACAGGCGUGAAAUCCCCGGGCUUAACCUGGGAAUGGCGCUUGUGACUGUCAGGCUAGAGUAUGUCACA